CUUUGGUAAAACAUCUCCGCUAAACAUUGGUUUUCCCAUCUCAUCCUGACCUGUUUGGGAACAUUGUAGGAAUUGGUGACAAGGUAUAAAGAACGCCAAGAAAAGAGCUCAUCACUGUAGAGGCUGCAGAAAAAAACCCGCAGCUUUUAUUCUAGAAAUGAUUCUGGCAGUGUUGGAGAAGGUGAGGAGAGAUGCUCACGUUGAAGGAGACUGUCUGGAAAGGAGCUGAGGACUGGGGCAAGCCUGGACAAUGUGGCCAAGCCCAUAUCAUCAGACGUAUGACUGUCAGCCACAGAGCAAAGCGGAAAGAGGAAGAGUGAGCUCUCAUGGGGCCCUCAGUCUCUGCCUGAUGGGCAGAUGAGACACGCACCAACUGUAUACCAGUUGUUGGAAACCCAGAUGACCUGUAUUGUUAUGAGUUUCUUAUGGUCCAGUGCAUGUGUCCUCUUGAGGGAAAAUGAAGGGACACUUUAAGUUCUUACUCAUCAACAUUGGGCUUUUAAAAGAACCGAAAAAUUCUCCCGUUGAACUUUCUUGGUUGUG